AGAAAAGUCAAAAAUAGUGAGAUAUCUUGCAGAGGGAUGCAGCACUCUUAAAAUUGCAAAGCUUCUGAAGCGUGAUCAUCGAACAAUCAAGCGUUUCAUUCAAAAUAGUCAACAGGGUCGCAAGAAGCGUGUGGAAACCCAAGGCGCAAAAUAACUGCCCAUGAACUGAGAAAAGUCAAGCGUGCAGCUGCCACGAUGCCACUUGCCACCAGUUUGGCCAUAUUUCAGAGCUGCAAC